AAUGCCAGGAGUAGCUCCACCCAUGCGUGGCCCUAGGACCAUAAGGGGUGAUUUUUUUCCCAUGGCUGCAGAAUAGUGGGCCUGAUUUCUUCGUUUUGGAGGAAUUCCAGUCCAUCUGGCACGGCAGAGUAACUCCACAUGGGGCAGCAGAAAGUCAGUGAAGCUUGUGCCUGCGGUGGAAAGCAAAAAGGGCAAGUCAGGACCAGGGUUUUGGAUUUUCUGCUCUCGUAAACAAAUGAUGAACAAUGUUGAACUUAAGCACUUAUCAAAUUUCAAAGACUAAAGAACACUCAAGAAGGACUGCACUCCAUUGGUCACCCCAACCCAUUUUCCCCAAGGCCAUCCCCUCCUAUCUUGCCAGUAUUGCUUAUAUUGUAGCCACUGAAAACACGUCAUAAUCACUGGGAGCUGAGCCACCUAAAAGAAUGAGGUGCACCAGACACGUUUCAUAAGACAGAAGGCAACAUUCUGCUGAGGACUGAAGAGGAAGACUUACACUGGGUCUCUUGUCAUCUUCUCAAAUUCAGCCUUGUCAGAAAAUGUCAAGGACCAAAAAAAAUCCCUUGUCUACAAAAUUACUACUAAAAACAAGGUAGAAAAUGAGACUUCUAUUGGCAAAAUUCCCUCCUCCUCUCCCUAAAAGUGGUGAGGAAAUCAAUAGCAAAAUAUUCCAAGCUGAAAGAAAUAUAUUCAAUUAUAAAAUCAGUAAUAUAAG